rnacentral:tRNA from 1 species
AGAGAGAUGGCAGAGUGGUCGAUUGCGGCGGUCUUGAAAACCGUUGACUGUUAAAGGUCCGGGGGUUCGAAUCCCUCUCUCUCUGCUA